AUUUCCCUCCAAUCAGCUGUUAAGUAUUUUUCCACAGAAGUAGUCAACGCUCUACGCAUUAAGAAGGUGCAAUCAGUUGUCGUUCGUAAAUGAAAAUUUUAGUCGCAACGAAGAGUAACUUUUAACAGUAGUUACAAAUGUGCACCGUUGAAAACAUUGUUUUCGUUUGCGAAUUAGGUCAAAAUCAAAACAAAGUAUAUGUGAAAAAGAUGAGAUAGUGUCAUACCUUGGUCUUUGUAUGCCAAAUGUCAUACAUAUUUACUUCUAUUUCUUAAAUAAAAGCAGAAUGUAAAAUUUCAAACAUUAUUAUUCAUUUUUAUUAAAAUUUAUUGAUUACGAAUAUAUAUGCCAAUUAACUUCAUUAUCUCUAAUAUUGAAUCUAUCUCUUAUUCAAAUUAGAAAUUAUGUUGAGACUUUUGGUUACCUUUGGUGCCGGAAUGUAUGCAGGGGUUUAUCUUUGUCAGAAUUAUAAGAUUCCUCGUGUUGAUGAGCCUGCUGAGUUGUGGAGAAAAAUAAAGGAUAUUGCUGACCAAUAUAGAAAGCCUCCUGACAGUUAGCUCCUUUAUUAAUGUUUAGUUUGUGUAUUGUAAUUUUGUCAAUGAAUUAUUUUUUUUAAAA